UCUUACCAUGCAGUCGAACGGUAACAGGCCUUCGGGCGCUGACGAGUGGCGGACGGGUGAGUAACGCGCAGGAAUCUGCCUUAUAGUGGGGGACAACGUGGGGAAACCCACGCUAAUACCGCAUACGCCCUAUGGGGGAAAGCGGGGGCUCGUAAGACCUCGCGCUAUGAGAUGAGCCUGCGUUAGAUUAGCUAGUUGGUAGGGUAAAGGCCUACCAAGGCGACGAUCUAUAGCUGGUCUGAGAGGACGAUCAGCCACACUGGGACUGAGACACGGCCCAGACUCCUACGGGAGGCAGCAGUGGGGAAUAUUGGACAAUGGGCGCAAGCCUGAUCCAGCAAUACCGCGUGUGUGAAGAAGGCCCUAGGGUUGUAAAGCACUUUCAAUGGGGAGGAAAACCUGCCGGUCAAUACCCGGUAGCUUGACAUUACCUAUAGAAGAAGCACCGGCUAACUCCGUGCCAGCAGCCGCGGUAAUACGGAGGGUGCGAGCGUUAAUCGGAAUUACUGGGCGUAAAGGACGCGUAGGCGGUCCAUUAAGUGUGAAGUGAAAUCUCCAGAGCUC
rnacentral:rRNA from 1 species